rnacentral:rRNA from 1 species
UGGUGCCAGCAGCGCGGUAAUACGUAGGUGGCAAGCGUUGUCCGGAAUUAUUGGGCGUAAAGGGCUCGCAGGCGGUUUCUUAAGUCUGAUGUGAAAGCCCCCGGCUCAACCGGGGAGGGUCAUUGGAAACUGGGGAACUUGAGUGCAGAAGAGGAGAGUGGAAUUCCACGUGUAGCGGUGAAAUGCGUAGAGAUGUGGAGGAACACCAGUGGCGAAGGCGACUCUCUGGUCUGUAACUGACGCUGAGGAGCGAAAGCGUGGGGAGCGAACAGGAUUAGAUACCCUGGUAGUCCC